ACAAUGGAGAGUUUGAUCCUGGCUCAGGAUGAACGCUAGCGGGAGGCCUAACACAUGCAAGCCGAGCGGUAGAAGAUCUUCGGAUCUUUGAGAGCGGCGCACGGGUGCGGAACACGUGUGCAACCUGCCUUUAUCAGGGGGAUAGCCUUUCGAAAGGAAGAUUAAUACCCCAUAAUAUAAUGACUGGCAUCAGUUAUUAUUGAAAACUCCGGUGGAUAGAGAUGGGCACGCGCAAGAUUAGAUAGUUGGUGAGGUAACGGCUCACCAAGUCUGCGAUCUUUAGGGGGCCUGAGAGGGUGAUCCCCCACACUGGUACUGAGACACGGACCAGACUCCUACGGGAGGCAGCAGUGAGGAAUAUUGGACAAUGGGUGAGAGCCUGAUCCAGCCAUCCCGCGUGAAGGACGACGGCCCUAUGGGUUGUAAACUUCUUUUGUAUAGGGAUAAACCUACUCUCGUGAGAGUAGCUGAAGGUACUAUACGAAUAAGCACCGGCUAACUCCGUGCCAGCAGCCGCGGUAAUACGGAGGGUGCAAGCGUUAUCCGGAUUUAUUGGGUUUAAAGGGUCCGUAGGCUGAUUUGUAAGUCAGUGGUGAAAUCUCACAGCUCAACUGUGAAACUGCCAUUGAUACUGCAAGUCUUGAGUGUUGUUGAAGUAGCUGGAAUAAGUAGUGUAGCGGUGAAAUGCAUAGAUAUUACUUAGAACACCAAUUGCGAAGGCAGGUUACUAAGCAACAACUGACGCUGAUGGACGAAAGCGUGGGGAGCGAACAGGAUUAGAUACCCUGGUAGUCCACGCCGUAAACGAUGCUAACUCGUUUUUGGGUUUUCGGAUUCAGAGACUAAGCGAAAGUGAUAAGUUAGCCACCUGGGGAGUACGUUCGCAAGAAUGAAACUCAAAGGAAUUGACGGGGGCCCGCACAAGCGGUGGAUUAUGUGGUUUAAUUCGAUGAUACGCGAGGAACCUUACCAAGGCUUAAAUGGGAAUUGACAGGUUUAGAAAUAGACUUUUCUUCGGACAAUUUUCAAGGUGCUGCAUGGUUGUCGUCAGCUCGUGCCGUGAGGUGUUAGGUUAAGUCCUGCAACGAGCGCAACCCCUGUCACUAGUUGCCAUCAUUCAGUUGGGGACUCUAGUGAGACUGCCUACGCAAGUAGAGAGGAAGGUGGGGAUGACGUCAAAUCAUCACGGCCCUUACGCCUUGGGCCACACACGUAAUACAAUGGCCAGUACAGAGGGCAGCUACACAGCGAUGUGAUGCAAAUCUCGAAAGCUGGUCUCAGUUCGGAUUGGAGUCUGCAACUCGACUCUAUGAAGCUGGAAUCGCUAGUAAUCGCGCAUCAGCCAUGGCGCGGUGAAUACGUUCCCGGGCCUUGUACACACCGCCCGUCAAGCCAUGGAAGUCUGGGGUACCUGAAGUCGGUGACCGUAACAGGAGCUGCCUAGGGUAAAACAGGUAACUAGGGCUAAGUCGUAACAAGGUAGCCGUACCGGAAGGUGCGGCUGGAACAUCUCAUUU
rnacentral:rRNA from 1 species